rnacentral:ncRNA from 1 species
GCUAUACCGCUUUAUUAUGCACAAAUAAAGUUAAAGAUUGUAUAGUAAUCCACGUGGUAGAGGCACAGUUAGGUUCGCUGUGGUGCAACUCUUAUUAGUAACUAAUCCAAAGCAAGUAUAGGAGAACAGGUUUUUAACUAUUUUUAGGCAGAUAAAAAAUAGUAUUUGACAGUCUAACACUAACUGAACAAUAAGUGUUA